rnacentral:rRNA from 1 species
AUUGAACGCUGGCGGCAGGCCUAACACAUGCAAGUCGAACGAGUGGCGGACGGGUGAGUAAUGUCUGGGAAACUGCCUGAUGGAGAGGGAUAACUACUGGAAACGGUAGCUAAUACCGCAUACCAUCAGAUGUGCCCAGAUGGGCGUAGCUGGUGGGUGGGGUAACGGCUCACCAAGGCGACGAUCCCUAGCUGGUCUGAGAGGAUGACCAGGCACACUGGAACUGAGACACGGUCCAGACCCCUACGGGAGGCAGCAGUGGGGAAUAUGGCACAAUGGGCGCAAGCCUGAUACAGCCAUGCCGCGUGUAUGAAGAAGGCCUUCGGGUUGUAAAGUACUUUCAGCGGGGAGGCGGUACCCGCAGAAGAAGCACCGGCUAACUCCGUGCCAGUCGCCGCGGUAAUUC